AAACCAGAGAAGCGCGACGCCAAGCCAAUCUCUGGGCUGCUCUGGGCGUACGUGACGGCAAGAUAGCAGGGCGAGCGGGCAACACUCACCAGCGUCCUCUCCGGUGUCGUCGCCAUGGUGCUGCGUUUAUGAGCGGGAAAGGGCACAACAACUGGGCGGGAGCUGCGUCAGAAACGUGCAAACGUCCAACGUCCAACCUCGGCGCCGGGCCGGGUACUGGUGGCAGUUGUCAACAACAACGAAAGCGUAGACCAGUCCGGUCUGGGUCUGUGCUUCAGCUGUGCUGGUUGGGACCACGAGACCCACGCCGCUUGCCUCUCUCAAGGUCACGCGUAAGUGUCUGGCUGGAUUGGCCGCGACCACAGCCCCCCCUUCCCCCCACUCCUCUUUGCCCGCUCUGCCACUGAAAGUGGGAGAAAACUAAUUGUGGUGGGGGAAGGAGUUUUAGGUGCAAGAGAGAUGGCUAUUCUUGCACUCUUUUGAGCCGAUGCCGGCCUUUUGCAUCUUGUAACUGAUGAUGCAAUCAAAUGAAAUAAAAAAAUUUAAGACAUGUACCAAAUUUUAGGCAGCUCCUGAGCAUUAGUACCAGUUGAUAGGGCAACACAAGCGUGUAAGAGUACAAGAAUGGAUUGAAUGGGCAGAGUCUUAAACUAUCACACUCUCCAUCGAAACUUUUUCUGGAAUCAUGUUUUGUUUCAGUUUUGGGUUUACUUUGUCUUAAAGGUAUCAGUUUUGAAUGUAUCUUUUGUUGGAAUAAUAUUUUUUUAAGGAGUUAAAGAAACACAAAAAUACAUAUCCUUAAAAUGU